ensembl:lncRNA
UUCCAAGGAAGCAAGAUUCCUGUGGGUGCGGUUCACUGCAGCUGCACCUGGGAGAGACGUGAGCAGCCAUUCCGUGUCUGGAGCAUCUCUGAUCUGGUGGGAUGAAUGGCAGAGCCCUGGCGAAGAGGCAUAGGUUAUGGGUUGUUCUGACGUGUCUGGACAUCACUCCUGUGGCUGUUAAGUCCUCCCCAGCUGUUCCGAUGAACGACUGGCUUCCAGAAAUGCUCCUGCCCUCUGUGCCCACUCACCUGGCCUUGUGGCACAAACACACUGGCAGAGACUGGAUUGCAACUAUGAAUGUGGCCUGUGUCUUCGGCACAGAAAGUAUGCGGAAAUGCAGAAGAAACAGGAAACUUUCAAGAAAGACUAUUAGUAAUCAAAGCUGCUUUUUAUCUUUCUAUUCCCUUUAUAAUGAUAUUGCAAAACUGUUGUCAUAUAGAAAGGCAAUCCAAGAGUGCGCAGCCAAAAACUACAGACAAAAAUGAGACAGGUGUGUCAGGCAGUGAAUUAAUACAAAUGAUUAUAUUAUUUUUCUGGAUUUUGUUAUGGUUUGUGAUAUUUGUCAGUUUCUAAAAAUGUAAAAGUUUUGGGGAUUUCUUUUCUCAUUCUAAAUAGUUACUUUUGUAGCUAAUUUUUUGUUUGAAAUUUGGUACCAUUUUUCUUAAAGAGGAGCCCCCCCCC